rnacentral:rRNA from 1 species
AUGGCGCUGGUGGACCUAACCCAACAUGUAGAACUGCGACCGGGCAUUGAGGAUGCCAUUGCCUGGACUUGGGAGAGCUCAGGAACAUUUUCUGCGCGAUCGGCAUAUCGCGCCCACUUUGCGGGCCGCAUAGAGAGCGCGGGAGCAGUGCAGGUAUGGAGAUGCAGGGCCCCCCCUGCUUGCAAGUUUUUCACGUGGCUCGCGACACGGAACCGAUGUUGGACAGCAGAUAGACUUCAGCGACGGCAGUUGCCGCACCCGUCGGCAUGCCCAUUCUGUGAUCAGCUGCCUGAGACUUUGGACCAUUUGCUUCUCGGAUGUGUUCUAGCAAGGCAGGUAUGGACCAAGGUCAUGAACACAUGGAGUAGGCCGGACUGGACGCCGUCCGCAGAUUCAAAGCUUGUCGAAUGGUGGACUACUCUCAACCCCCAAAAUCAAUUCUGA